rnacentral:lncRNA from 1 species
UUUUUGCUGUCAAAAAAAAAUUACAUACAAAAUUUUACAAUUAUAAUUGCCCUAUAUGCCCAUAAAUGUCUCAUAAUUGCAGCUUUAAAUCAUAGAACGAUAACAUCUAAUUAUACACACCGCUACUAAAAUUUCAAAACAAGGGCUAUAGAUACAAUAAUUAUAUCAGAAAAUGAAAACAUGUGAGAAAAGUCGUUAAAAUUUGUUGUAUGCAUUAGAUAGAUUUGCCUCCAAUGUGUGCACAACUGCUCAUGGAAUUUUUUUUUUUUUUUUGCUAAAACGUAAAUAUCAUUACGUUGUUAAUGAAAAGUCUGAUUCAAAGGACUUGCAAUCUCUUCUGCUCUAAAACUAAUCAGAUACAAAGGCCGCAAAAAAUAUAAAAACCCGAAGUAUCAACCUAAGAUCAAAGCAUUGAUCAACAAGAACAACACUUCAAUCUACAAAAAUUGCCACAAGCGUCAGCAAAACCUCCCUACAAGAACUGCACAUGGAGUUAUACACAAAAGCUGCGUCUACCCUCCGUCCCUCUCAGUUUCUCCAAUUAAUGUCCACCUCUUAACCUGCAUCAUCUAUAUAUCCACCUCUGAGAUUCAGACACGUCACUCCUGCUCUACAUCAAACGGGUUUCCUUGAUGUCCUUGCUAAUAGAUAAGGCCUAAGGGGAAAGUUGGCAUGAAGAGCCAAGCCGAUAUUUCUCAUAGAGAUCUCUUGUUGGUUGGUCCCAAUCACUAGCAAUGUAGAUACAAUUGCUCCUCCAUGUUACCUCCUCUUUCUUUCACCUUUAUAGCUUUCCUUUUCUUCAAUUUAGCCUGUCACCAAAUUUGACUUAGUCUGGACUCUGGAGUAAUCUGAUAUGUCAUGGAGAACUUAUACAAGGAGGGAAAGGAAGAGGGUUCAGGACCAGGAGGUUGAGAUUGAUAGUUCAAGCCGUUAAACACGGUUUAGAGAUGAGGCGCAGCAACA